CUAGUGCUAAAAAGAGAAAUAAAGAACACAUAUACACGUCAACAACGUCAACAACACACCCAGCAAUCACAUAAAUCAUCAAGCAUUUCUAGGUUUUCAACAAUGACUUCACACACAUCCAUGCACAUCGAUGCACAUCAGUACCCGAGAAAAAUCAAGGCUCACAAAAUAGAUCAACUAAGCUUUCAAUUUAAUUCUAAACAUACACGUAAUAACAUUUCACAUGUAGAAAAUAAUAGCAAGAGAAUAAAAAAUGUAUUUAAGCUUCGGACAAAAAGAUUCACUAAGAAGUUGACAGACAACACACUCCAUAGGAAACUUUAAAUCCCCCCUCUGUAUCCAUACCAGAUGGUACAUCCCAUUCCCUCUGCUCCUCUCUCUCCUCCCCUUUUUUACUGUGCCCUCCAUCUCUCAGCUCUCAUUUGUUUGUCCUGAGGACAUUUGCUUGUCCUGCAGACUCCCUCCCGGUAGCAACCUCUUAUCUCCAUCCACCUUGUCAUCUCGGCAGUACUACUGAGGAGUCCAACAGACCUGCUGGUAAAACAACAGUGAACUCCUGAGAGAGAUUCAUCCACUGCUUGACCUCGUCCUAUGGAAACCAAGGCCAAGAGCGGGGCACCCGUGCCCAAGGGUGUCCCUAAAGCAGAGAAGAAGGAGCCUGUUGCCCCCCGUAAGGCAGACCCUGCCCCAGCUGCCCCAGAGGUCGAGAACCCCCCUCCUCCCCCCCAGGAUGGAGCAGCAGAGCAGGAGGCGGCGCCAGAGGGUGGCGAGGAGGAGGUGGCUGCCAGCACAGACUCUCUAGAAUCCCUGAAACCCUUUUUGAUUGGUGGAGCCAUCAUUGCUGCCGGGGCCAUCCUGCUUGGAGUGCUUCUAUUGGCACGGAGAAAUUAGAACCAACCCUUUGUCUUCGUAUGCUAUUGGUCAAUGGGUUAGCUGGUCACUUACUAAUGUGUGUAAUAAUAGACUAUUAAGGCUAUUUGGUAGAGAUGGGGAAUGGGGAGCCACUGUGUUGAUUGUAUUGCUUCCAGUCUGACUUUGCUUGUAGUGAAUAUACCCAUAUCAGUGACGUUUUAAAUUAAAUAUUUUGGUCAAUGAUGGCUAGAUAAUGCCAGUAUACUGCAUGAAUUUGCUCCACCCAUGUGAUUGCACCAUCUUACUCACACUGGUGCAUAGACUUCAGAAAUCAAUACAAGUCAAUCAUAUAGUAGAUGCACACUCAGCAAUACUGAGCUCAUUUACCACUGCCUUACAGUACAUCAACUGGCUUGACCUAUUUAAUCGGAUUUGCACAUCAAAAGAGAAACACAUUCUUAAGCUCUGUAUGUUUUUGCACAAGACAUUUGAUUUGGUCCAAUUUCGAUUGGCAGUCCCUUCUCUCUGACAUUUCACACUAAACACUUGCAAGUAAUAACAGUUGAACACAGGAUGUUGAAUUUUUAAAAUCAAAUUAACAUUGUCUCCUUAUCAACCCUGUCUGGUAGUGGAGUGUUUUUGACAGUAAUUUAUGGUUGUUAGUGUUGACCAUUUCCCAGUCAAAUAUCAGUUUAACCUUAAUUUUCUGUCUGAUAACAGUUAAAGAAUGUCUGAAAGGCUAUCUGAUUCAGGUCAUCUAUAUGUCAGAUGCUGGAUUACUGAGAGGAGCACAUACAAAGACAUUUAGAAACUAAACUUAUUGCCAAACAUGUGCUGUUUUUUAGUGGAGCAGAGGCACACUGUGACCAGAUGUCAUCAAUAUGAAAAGCUUGGUACUCACAACCUCACCACACAUACUAUACAGUAAACAACAUGUACAGUAGACAGGUUUGGUAGAUUAAAGACACACUCUCCAGUCUCCAGAGAGACAGAGGUAACCUGGAACUUCAUCAUUAUGGAAUAUGGAAACAUCCCCAAUUGGAGUCAUAGUUAAUUCUAUAGUUUGUGUUAAGAGUAAAGGGUGCAUGUUAUAACAAUAUAUUGUUAUACUGUAUAAUUAUUAUAAUGUUAUGACGUAGUCUAAUGUUGGCAUUUAUUUUCAAAUUACUGUAAAUUCAUUGUAAUAUAUGUACAAAUUAUUCCCCAAGAGAUUACAUAGGUGGAAUACAAAAAGCUAAAUCUAUUCUCCACCAUUGACAUAUCACAAGUUUUGAGGGUUAUGUAUGAUAUUGGUGUGUUAUUGAAUAUGACAGUUAGACCAAUAUUAUUCUUAUAGUUUAUAUCUUUGACAAUCUACUAAUCCCAGGAGCAGCAUUUUAAAAUGACAUCACAAUGACUCUCAUCAAUCUAAAGUAAAUUGCAAACCAACACAGUUGUAUUUAGUACAAACUUAAGUUAUGCUUGAGGAUUAUCACAACCUUAUAGCUUGCGUUAUGUCAAGUACUACAUUUGAACACAUAAGUAGUCCAAACAUCCUGCAUGAAUACUAGCCUUUAGUUUAAUAUGAUGUAGUAAUCACCCAAACAAAGCAACAGGCGUGUUAUGCCAAAUAACCUUCACAUUUUACUGUAUAACAUACAGAAUUAAACAAAAAAAUCUCUUAUUUUAUUUUCCUUUGAUUCAAGAGCGUAUAAAUGCAAUAAUUCCGGUAGGACUCUUCAUUUCAGCACAUGUUUGGUAAAUCUGUAGCAAUUAAAUUGAUCAGCAGGAUCAACAAGGGUGAUGAUGACGAGGGUGAUGAUAAUGGACAUGGAAUAUGAUGAUGAUGAUGUAGCCUAUUCUUGAUAUUCCCUGUUCCAUGCCACACCUUCCAUUUUACACACUCUCUUCCUGGCCCCCCAAAGCUCAUAAUGAUAAACCCAAAAAGGAAAUGGUUCCCUUGUAACUACAGCUGACCUGUAAUAAAGACAAUGAACCAGUCAGCAUA